GACGUAGGGGGCGAGCGUUGUCCGGAAUUAUUGGGCGUAAAGCGCGUGUAGGCGGUCCGGUAAGUCCGCUGUGAAAGUCGAGGGCUCAACCCUCGAAUGCCGGUGGAUACUGUCGGGCUAGAGUACGGAAGAGGCGAGUGGAAUUCCUGGUGUAGCGGUGAAAUUCGUAGAUAUCAGGAGGAACACCGGUGGCGAAGGCGGCUUUCUGGACGACAACUGACGCUGAGACGCGAAAGCGUGGGGAGCAAACAGG
rnacentral:rRNA from 1 species